ACGGAAUAGAUACCCGGGUAGUCCCAGCCGUAAACGAUGCUCGCUAGGUGUCAGGCAUGGCGCGACCGUGUCUGGUGCCGCAGGGAAGCCGUGAAGCGAGCCACCUGGGAAGUACGGCCGCAAGGCUGAAACUUAAAGGAAUUGGCGGGGAGCACAACAACGGGUGGAGCCUGCGGUUUAAUUGGACUCAACGCCGGACAACUCACCGGGGGCGGACAGCAAUAUGUAGGCCAGGCUGAAGACCUUGCUUGAAUCGCUGAGAGGAGGUGCAUGGCCGUCGCCAGUUCGUACUGUGAAGCAUCCUGUUAAGUCAGGCAACGAGCGAGACCCGUGCCCACUGUUACCAGCAUAUUCUCCGGAAUGAUGGGUACUCUGUGGGGACCGCCGAUGUUAAAUCGGAGGAAGGUGCGGGCCACGGUAGGUCAGUAUGCCCGAAUCUCCCGGGCUACACGCGGGCUACAAUGGAUGGGACAAUGGGUCCCUACCCUGAAAACGGGUCUGGUAAUCUCACAAACCCGAUUCGUAGUUCGGAUCGAGGGCUGUAAC
rnacentral:rRNA from 1 species